CAUUAAGAAGCUAAAUAAGCGUUAACCUUUUAAGUUAAAGACUGGGAAUUUAAUCUCCCCUUAGUGA
rnacentral:tRNA from 1 species